CGGGGGGGGCAAGCGUUGUUCGGAAUUACUGGGCGUAAAGGGCGCGUAGGCGGCCUGCUAAGUCGGACGUGAAAUCCCUCGGCUCAACCGGGGAACUGCGUCCGAUACUGGCGAGGCUUGAAUCCGGGAGAGGGAUGUGGAAUUCCAGGUGUAGCGGUGAAACGCGUAGAUAUCUGGAGGUACACCAGUGGCGAAGGCGGCAUCCUGGACCGGUAUUGACGCUGAGGCGCGAAAGCUAGGGUAGCAAACGGGAUUAGAUACCCCGGUAGUCCUAGCCCUAAACGAUGAGUGCUCGGUGUGGCGGGUAUCGAUCCCUGCCGUGCCGAAGCUAACGCAUUAAGCACUCCGCCUGGGGAGUACGGUCGCAAGGCUG
rnacentral:rRNA from 1 species